rnacentral:lncRNA from 1 species
GUGACAGAGUGAGACUCUGUCUCAAAAAAAAAAGGGGGCCUGCUAAGGUGAGCUAACAUGACUGCCACCCAGAGAUCAGCUUACACAUCACCUCUUUAUGGAGGUCUCACCUGCUUUAAUUUUUUUGCAUAGCACUUAAUCCUAUCUGAUUUGGUUCUCAUCCCCGUUUCCCCUAGAAAGUACACUCUGUGAGACCUUGGAUUUUUUGCCUUGUAUUUCUAAGGCUUAAAGUAGUGCCUAACAUAGAAAAAGCCAUGUAAAUACUGGAUGAAUGGAUGGAUGUUGUAAUGGCAGCAGGAAGAAUUAUGUGACAAUCCACCAGUGCCACUCAGGGCCUCAGGAUCAAAAGUGAGGAAAAAGGAAGGUUAUCAAGGACCGACCGUUGGCAAGACAGAAAAGACAGAGAGGUCAAGGUGAUGAAAGAGUUAAGGGUGGCAGUGAGAAUGCUGUGGAAACAAGUGUCCACUGAACCCAGGCUGACUAAGGAGGGAGAGUUGACAAGGAAGACAAGCAGUGGGGGUGAGUAAAGAGGAAGCAGGGGGCAGGUGCGGUGGCUCACACCUUCAUCCUGGCAUUUCAGGAGGCCAAGGCGGGCAGAUCACCUGAGGUCUGAAGUUCGAGACCAGCCUGGCCAAAUGGUGAAACCCUGUCUCUACUAAAAAUACAAAAAUUAGCUGGGUGUGGUGGUGGACAUUUGUAAUCCCAGCUACUGGGGAGGCUGAGGCAGGAGAAUCACUUGAACCUGGGAGGUGGAGGUUGCCGUGAGCUGAGAUUGCACCAUUACACUCCAGCCUGGCAACAGAGUGAGACUCUGUCUAAAAAAAAAAAAGAGAGAGAGAGAGAGAGAGAAAGAGGAAGCAGGGAAGGGACUGCAGACUGCACUGAGGUUGAAAAGCAGGCUUAGUGGGAACAGUUGGAGAAUAAUAUACUCUGGUCAACAGAAUGCCAGGAGUGGGAGAUUGCUGAGCUGCAGAGAUGCCAAGUGAUGCAAACAGCCAACCUGUGUCCAUGACAGUGGGUUGCCCACAUGAAGCAGAAGUGAGGGGUACUGAAGUUUAGCCCAUCAAGGCACUGCAAAAUAGGGCAGCCUUCCCUAACGUGUAUGUUCCAAGAAUAGUAAUUCUGAGAGUUAAAUUGUACUGACAGAAUAAAGGGCUCUGUGGUCAAAUAACUUUAGAAAAUCUAAGUUAGAAAAUGGAUUCCCCAUAUUGCAAGACUUCUAUAAAUCUUCAAAAUACUUCAAAAGGCUUCAAAAGAGGGUAUCAUGUUUCCCAGGGUUAUUUGACUGACUAAUCCUUUUUUAUUUUUUAGAGAUAGGGUCUCACUAUUGCCUGGAGUGAGACCCCAUCUCAAAAAAAUAAAGUGCAGUGGUGUGAUCAUAGCUCACAGCAGCCUCAAAGUUCUGGGCUCAAGUGAUCGUCCUGCCUCAGCCUCCUGAGUAGCUAGGAUUACAGGCACAUAAAUCCUUUUAUGUUUCUCUUUGAGACAGGGUCUCGCUCUGUCACCUAGGCUGGAGUGCAGUGCUGCAAACAUAACUCACUGCAGCCUCAACCUCUUGGGCUCAAGCAAUCCUCCUCCCUCAGCCUCCAGAGUAGCUGGGAUUACAAGCAUGCACCCCAUGCCUGGUUAUUAUUAUUAUUGUAGAGAUGAGGUCUUAAUAUGGUGCCCAGACUGGUCUCAAACUCCUGACCUUAAGCAAUCCUCCCACCUUGGCCUCCUAAAGUGCUAGGUUUACAGGCAUGAGCUGCCGUGCCCACCUGUGUGAAUCCUUUUUUAUUUCCCUCCAGGAGCAUCUCUAGGGUCGACUUUACCCCUAAAACAGAGGUUCUCAAAGUGCGGUCCCUCGGACAGCAGCAUCAGCAUCCAUUGGGAACCUGCUAGAAAUGCAAAUUCUCAGGCCUCACCCUAGACCUAUCUAAUUGAAAACUCUGGGAAUGGAGCCAGAAAUCUGUGUUUUAACAAGCUCUGCAGACAAUUCUGUUGUAUACUAAAGUUUAAGAAUGACUGAGCUAGAAAAUACUUUGGGAAGGCUGAUUCAUAUUCAUAUGUGGAAAAGACUAUUUGGUAAGGGGUUGGAUAAGUCUUUCAUAUUAAUGCUGAAGUCAUAUAGUAAGACUGCAGAAGUUGAAAUGGAGAAGAAAAAUAUGAGUCCAAUAGUAAUAUGCAAAUUAAGAUUGCAAUAUUUAACACUAGCCUAAUUAAUACAUCAAGUCAAUAUAUUAACAAAAAUGAUAUUGGAUUGACUAUUCCUUUGGAUUUUUCAUGCUGUUACGUCCCUCUGUUAGCAUGGAUCAAGAGCUGACUCCUUUCCAAUAUACUUUGUCAAGUUGUUAGGGGGAGCAGGAGGGAGAAAGAAAGAGAAACGGAUUUGAAAUGUGUUUCCUUUCUUUUCUUUUUCUCCAUCCUUUGACGGAGGCACCAAAAAAGUAAUUAUGAGGCCAAAAAGUAGACAACAGUAAAAAGCAAAGAGAGAAGAUAGAGCGUAUAUAAACUAUAUCAUCAGCUCUUGAAUAACCAAACUUAUCAGAAGAUAUAAUUUUCAGGUGUUAAAAAUGUAUCUGUCAUGCUCCUUAGCAGAAUAAUUUGGAGACGUUCUUACCAGACAUUUAUAGUUUGCAGAAGAGCUGUCAAAAAUAACUCAGCUAUAUGAACACUUCAACUGUACAAUGAAAAAAAAGUGUGACUCUAAAAGGAAUCUGGGUGCAUGUUUUCAAAAGUAAAAUUUGAAUCUCAGCCUAAAAUCUAAAAUGCAUUUUGACUCAGAAUUUUUUUAAGAGGGAAAAAGAAAGAAGACCCCUUGAACAAUUAUGCAUAACUAAAAUAUUGAGCUUUUUAAAUGAUUUGAACUUCAGCUAGAAACAUUCUGUUUCUAAUGCAUUUUGACAUAAAGACAUCAGAAGUGAAAGAAUAGCAUGUGCAAAGAUUUGCAUGAACACAAAGGUUUAAUGGGAAGAAAAAAAAAUAAGAAAUGCCCCUGAUUUCUUAAGGUGGAAGUGUGCAGAAUUUCCUUUGUCUUUCACUCACUCAACCCUGGCUCACCUUGCAGCAAUAUACAUGAUUGGUCAGGUCUCUGUGACUCCACUGGUCUUGAACUCCUGUGGCUAUUUCUACUAAGUGGGGAUGAGCUAGACUGGAGCAGGUCUAGAUAAAGAUCUGUUUUUCCUAUAGAAAACCACCUGCACUUCUUACAGAGCUAGUGUGACUUAUACAACCUUUGAAUGACUCACUUUUCAGAUACUUUGGAUCUUUGAAAUAUAAUAUUCUCAGCCACUAAAAAAGACUGAAUUCAGCUAGGCACGGUGGCUCACGCCUGUAACCCCAGCACUUUGGGAGGCUGAGGCGGGUGGAUCACGAGGUCAGGAGUUCAAGGCCAGCCUGGCCAAGAUAGUGAAACCCCCCCCCCAUCUCUACUAAAAAUACAAAAAUUAGCUGGGUGCGGUGGCAGGUGCCUGUAAUCCCAGCUACUCAGGAGGCUGGGGCAGGAGAAUCACUUGAACCUUGAACCCAG